rnacentral:rRNA from 1 species
GACAGAGGGUGCAAACGUUGUUCGGAAUUACUGGGCGUAAAGCGCGUGUAGGCAGCUAAGUAAGUCGGGCGUGAAAUCCCACGGCUCAACCGUGGAAGUGCACUCGAAACUGCAUAGCUAGAGUCCUGGAGAGGAAGGUGGAAUGCUUGGUGUAGAGGUGAAAUUCGUAGAUAUCAAGCGGAACACCGGUGGCGAAGGCGGCCUUCUGGACAGUGACUGACGCUGAGACG